CAACCUACCUAUCAGAGGGGAAUAACCCGGCGAAAGUCGGACUAAUACCGCAUAAAACAGGGGCACCGNNUGGUGAUAUUUGUUAAAGAAAUUCGCUGAUAGAUGGGCAUGCGUUCCAUUAGGUAGUUGGUGAGGUAACGGCUCACCAAGCCGACGAUGGAUAGGGGAACUGAGAGGUUGGUCCCCCACACUGGUACUGAGACACGGACCAGACUCCUACGGGAGGCAGCAGUGAGGAAUAUUGGUCAAUGGGCGGGAGCCUGAACCAGCCAAGUCGCGUGAAGGAAGAAGGAUCUAUGGUUCGUAAACUUCUUUUGCGGGGGAAUAAAGUGCAGGACGUGUCCUGUUUUGUAUGUACCCUGAGAAUAAGGAUCGGCUAACUCCGUGCCAGCAGCCGCGGUAAUACGGAGGAUCCGAGCGUUAUCCGGAUUUAUUGGGUUUAAAGGGUGCGUAGGUGGUUUGAUAAGUCAGCGGUGAAAGUUUGCAGCUUAACUGUAAAAAUGCCGUUGAAACUGUCGGACUUGAGUGUAAAUGAGGUAGGCGGAAUGCGUGGUGUAGCGGUGAAAUGCAUAGAUAUCACGAAGAACUCCGAUUG
rnacentral:rRNA from 1 species